rnacentral:rRNA from 1 species
GAUGAACGCUAGCGGCAGGCCUAACACAUGCAAGUCGAGGGGCAGCACAGAAACAGCAAUGUGUUGGUGGCGACCGGCGGACGGGUGCGUAACGCGUAUGCAACCUACCUUUAACAGGGGGAUAACGGAGAGAAAUUUCCACUAAUACCACAUAACAACGAUCAAGGCAUCUUGAUUGGUUGAAAACUCCGGUGGUUAAAGAUGGGCAUGCGUUGUAUUAGGUAGUUGGUGAGGUAAUGGCUCACCAAGCCUACGAUACAUAGGGGGGACUGAGAGGUUAGCCCCCCACACUGGUACUGAGACACGGACCAGACUCCUACGGGAGGCAGCAGUGAGGAAUAUUGGUCAAUGGGGGCAACCCUGAACCAGCCAUGCCGCGUGCAGGAAGACGGCUCUAUGAGUUGUAAACUGCUUUUAAACAGGGAUAAAGCACAGUAUGUAUACUGUGUUGAAGGUACUGUAAGAAUAAGGAUCGGCUAACUCCGUGCCAGCAGCCGCCGUAA